AUACGUAGGGUGCGAGCGUUGUCCGGAAUUACUGGGCGUAAAGAGCUCGUAGGUGGUUUGUCGCGUCGUCUGUGAAAUUCCGGGGCUUAACUCCGGGCGUGCAGGCGAUACGGGCAUAACUUGAGUACUGUAGGGGAGACUGGAAUUCCUGGUGUAGCGGUGAAAUGCGCAGAUAUCAGGAGGAACACCGGUGGCGAAGGCGGGUCUCUGGGCAGUAACUGACGCUGAGGGGCGAAAGCAUGGGUAGCGAACAGGAUUAGAUACCCUGGUAGUCCAUGCCGUAAACGGUGGGCGCUAGGUGUAGGGGUCUUCCACGACUUCUGUGCCGUAGCUAACGCAUUAAGCGCCCCGCCUGGGGAGUACGGCCGCAAGGCUAAAACUCAAAGGAAUUGACGGGG
rnacentral:rRNA from 1 species